CUGUUUUUCUUUUAAUUACUGGAAUUCUUGCGUGCGCAUUGAUCUAUCUUUGCACGUGCUUUCUUUUUUGGAACGGUAAUGUUUGCACGUGCUUAGCAUUAUUCCUACAUUGCAAUUUGAUGCAGGAAGCUUCUUGUAAAGACUUCGCCAUUCUCAUGUAAAUUUCUCUCUCCUGAACUUUUAGGAGCGCCUUCCAUCAAAUAUUUCCAUGUGGGCAUGAAGGAUUACCCAAAAAAUCCCAAUUUAUCUGCAGGUCUCACUCCACCCCCUCAUCUUUUCGUUUAGAAUUAUGCUUAUAAGCCAAAAUUAGAAAUUCAAACUUUAAAUUUAAAGUUGAUUUUAGAGGUUUUUUAUUAUAGUUUAUUUAUUGCUUUUGCUUUUAGAUUGCUAAGAACGCGUAUAUAAUUUUUUUAUUUAUAAAUUAUUUUUUAAAUAUGUUGUGUAUUCAAUGCGCGGUGUGUGCCUGCAAGCUAGCGAGCUUUACUUCUUGUUCUCAUGAUAUUCUUCUUAGAUAUAUCAUUGUACACAGCACCUUCCAAGUGUAAAGAUCAAGUAAUUCAGGUUAGUUGGGAAAAGUUCAGAGAAAAAGGGGUAAAUGCUUCCCUUCUUUUUCUCUCCAUCUCCUUUUCUUUUGUGGAAAGGUAGAGAGUAUCAGAAUAUAUCAAAACGCUGUUGCACCAAUAGAGUAGUACUUAAUUAUAUCUCUCAUCAAGUGACCACACACACAGAGCAAGUUAGCAUAAACAAAAAAAAACUAAUAAUCUUGGAGCAUCUUUUGCAGGGAUGCAAGAACAGAGGCAGGGAAAAGAUCAGAAGGAGAGCACCCAGGGAAAGGAAAGGAAGAAAGGUUACCAAAAGCAGCAUGCAUGAAUGCAAGAAAAGGGCAGGCAUGAGUAGAGGAGAGGAUUAAGAGUGAGAAAAGAAUACCCACACACCAAAGCAACUUUGCAGCUACUACCUCUCUUCGAUUCGAUUAAAUAACGCUGCAACCUGCACACACCAAGAUGCACCCACCCCAGCCCACCCAUCUCAGCAAUGGCAUUCUGAAUUUCUUCUUUCACUUCUAGAUGCACGCAGCACACUAGCUAGCCUGCUAUGAUCAAAUCAGCUUCUGCCUUGACUAAUUUAUUAACCGACCAAUGACCAUCAUCCCGGAGUUACCCGUGGUAAAAGAAGCGCUCUGAAAUUUGGUGUACUCCAUUGACCGGUGAUCUGAUCGAUUGUACGAUUAGCUCUGACACUCCCUUACAGCCCAGCAGUUUGUCGCUGGCAAGCGGAUCUAUCUGAAUUUGCACAUGGUUUUAGUGGCCAGUUUAUCCCUGAAAUGCAAACAAUUUUUACUUGAACAAAUGCAAAUACUUUAGUUACAUGGGACUUUAAAGUUACGUGUCUUUUGUUACUGACAUGUGGUUCAAAGAUGUCGUAACUUUAAAAGCAGAGGAUCUUAAUCAGUUAUGCACUAGUAUUCUACUAAAGUUUUUCACUAAUUUUUCAGCUUCAAAG
rnacentral:lncRNA from 1 species